ensembl:lincRNA Gm568 predicted gene 568
GACUGCAGCAGGGAAACAAGGGUCGCAGCCAGUCCCAACUCUGGAACAUCAGGUCAAUGACAAAGCAAAGUCAGAUUUUCACAUUGCUAUUUCCAGCUAUGGUGUCACUGGCAAUGGCGAUGGUUAGUGUGGUCCGCAGAGAACAAAGUCUUUGGCGAAGAAGAGUCCUCAACCUGGGAAACAGGCAGAGAGCAUCCACCUCCCAGGACACAGGGUCAACACAAGGCCGAGCAGGAAACCUGGAGGGACAAGCUUCCACUUCGUUCCCACAGUUCCUGCCGCUUAGAGAACACAGUCCAGGACGCUACGUGGAUGUGACUCUUGGUUUUGUUUUUGUUUGAGAUAGAAUUUCAUACUAUGUAGACCAGGCUGAUCAAACUCACCAUCUUCCUGCCUCAGCCCCGCAGCUCCCCAUCUCUGGGAUUACAGCUAUAUACCACGACACCUAUCUCAGACUCCUUGACAAGAUACAAAAUAAAUAAACAAACAAACAAUCACCAAGCAAA